rnacentral:lncRNA from 1 species
AGGCGUCAGCAGCGGGUCAUCAUCAAUAGCCUCGAGCAAAAUAAAACACGUUUAUCUUAGCGUGGUAUCAGAGCAAGUGAUUACUCAUAUCAUAUGUCAUAUGUCAUCAAAGAUGUUGUGACAUAUGGGAGCACAUCUUCUAGCACAUGUUCGUCCAAUCAGGGCAGCAUCCAUUCAGCAGCAAACUCCCCCUGACUUCAUCAGCUUGUGCAUCAUCUCAGGGUAAAAAAAAAU